AUUGAACGCUGGCGGCAUGCCUUACACAUGCAAGUCGUACGGUAACGGGCCUUCGGGUGCCGCCGAGUGGCGAACGGGUGAGUAAUACAUCGGAACGUGCCCGAUCGUGGGGGAUAACGAGGCGAAAGCUUUGCUAAUACCGCAUACGAUCUACGGAUGAAAGCAGGGGACCGCAAGGCCUUGCGCGGACGGAGCGGCCGAUGGCAGAUUAGGUAGUUGGUGGGAUAAAAGCUUACCAAGCCGACGAUCUGUAGCUGGUCUGAGAGGAUGAUCAGCCACACUGGGACUGAGACACGGCCCAGACUCCUACGGGAGGCAGCAGUGGGGAAUUUUGGACAAUGGGCGCAAGCCUGAUCCAGCCAUGCCGCGUGCAGGAUGAAGGCCUUCGGGUUGUAAACUGCUUUUGUACGGAACGAAAAGCCUUCUUUUAAUACAGGAGGGUCAUGACGGUACCGUAAGAAUAAGCACCGGCUAACUACGUG
rnacentral:rRNA from 1 species